UUCYGGUUGAUCCAGAAUUCCGUGAUUUGCCGGUUGGUCACGCCACAGGUUACUGCUAUCGAGGUUCGAGUAAGCCAUGCGAGUCGAAUGUAGCAAUACAUGGCGUACUGCUCAGUAACACGUGGACAACCUACCCUCAGGAUGGGGAUAAACCCGGGAAACUGGGUAUAAUACCCAAUAGAUCUGGUCUGCUGGAAUGCUUCCAGAUUUAAAACUCCGGUGCCCUAAGGAUGGGUCUGCGGCCUAUCAGGUUGUAGUGGGUGUAGUGUACCUACUAGCCUACGACGGGUACGGGUUGUGAGAGCAAGAGCCCGGAGAUGGAUUCUGAGACACGAAUCCAGGCCCUACGGGUGCAGCAGGCGCGAAAACUUUACAAUGCCGGCAACGGCGAUAAGGGGACCUCGAGUGCCAGGUUACAAAUCUGGCUGUCGCGAUGCCUAAAAAGCAUUGCAUAGCAAGGCCGGGCAAGACCUUGCCAGCCGCCGCGGUAACACCGGCGGCUCGAGUGGUAACCGUUAUUAUUGGGUCUAAAGGGUCUGUAGCC
rnacentral:rRNA from 1 species